UACGUAGGUGGCAAGCGUUAUCCGGAUUUACUGGGUGUAAAGGGCGUGUAGGCGGUUCUGCAAGUCGGGUGUGAAAUUUCCGGGCUUAACCCGGACGGGUCACCCGAAACUGCGGAACUUGAGUACUGGAGAGGAUAGUGGAAUUCCUAGUGUAGCGGUAAAAUGCGUAGAUAUUAGGAGGAACACCAGUGGCGAAGGCGAUUCUCUGGACUGUAACUGACGCUGAGGCUCGAAAGCGUGGGGAGCAAACAGGAUUAGAUACCCGGGUAGUCCCUGAGCGGGCUGG
rnacentral:rRNA from 1 species